rnacentral:rRNA from 1 species
CAAUCGCCGCGGUAAUACAGAGGGUGCGAGCGUUAAUCGGAUUUACUGGGCGUAAAGCGUGCGUAGGCGGCUUCUUAAGUCGGAUGUGAAAUCCCUGAGCUUAACUUAGGAAUUGCAUUCGAUACUGGGAAGCUAGAGUAUGGGAGAGGAUGGUAGAAUUCCAGGUGUAGCGGUGAAAUGCGUAGAGAUCUGGAGGAAUACCGAUGGCGAAGGCAGCCAUCUGGCCUAAUACUGACGCUGAGGUACGAAAGCAUGGGGAGCAAACAGGAUUAGAUACCCCUGUAGUCCCUGUCUCUUAUAA